UCCCGGCAGUUCAAGUUGCAACCAACAUUAUUGGGUCUAAAACAUCCGUAGCUUGUUUAACAAGUCUCUUGUGAAAUCUCAUGUCUCAAGUAUGAGGCGUGCAAGAGAUACUGUUAAGCUAGAGAUCGGUAGGUGUAAGAAGUACACGAGAGGUAGUGGUUAAAUACGUUAAUCUUUCGUGGACUCACAAUUAGCGAAGGCAUCUUACAAGAACGAGUCUGACAGUGAGGGAUGAAGGCUAGGGGCGCAAAAC
rnacentral:rRNA from 1 species